AGCUUCAGUAGCGUAUAUUAAAGUUGUUGCAGUUAAAAAGCUCGUAGUCGCAUUUCUGGCGAGAGGAUCCGGUCCGACCUUUUGGUGGGUUCUUGGGUCUCUUUCGCCAUCCUUGAGUGGUCCGUUCUGGCAUUAGGUUGUCGGAGCGUCAAACGCUCAUCGUUUACUGUGAGAAAAUUAGAGUGUUCAAAGCAGGCUUAUGCCGUUGAAUAUAUUAGCAUGGAAUAAUAAGAUAGGACCUCGGUACUAUUUUGUUGGUUUGCGCACCAAGGUAAUGAUGAACAGGGACAGUUGGGGGUAUUUGUAUUUCGUUGUCAGAGGUGAAAUUCUUAGAUUUACGAAAGACAAACUACUGCGAAAGCAUUUACCAAGGAUGUUUUCA
rnacentral:rRNA from 1 species